CGCGUAGGUGGCGGGACAAGCGUGCGGUGAAAGCCUGGGGCUCAACCCCGGGUCGGCCGUGCGAACUGUUUUGCUUGAGCACUAUAGAGGCAGGCGGAAUUCCGGGUGUAGCGGUGGAAUGCGUAGAGAUCCGGAAGAACACCGGUGGCGAAGGCGGCCUGCUGGGCAGUAGCUGACACUGAGGCGCGACAGCGUGGGGAGCAAACA
rnacentral:rRNA from 1 species